rnacentral:rRNA from 1 species
UUGACCUCAAAUCAGGUAGGACUACCCGCUGAACUUAAGCAUAUCAAUAAGCGGAGGAAAAGAAACUAACAAGGAUUCCCCUAGUAACUGCGAGUGAAGAGGGAAAAGCUCAAAUUUAAAAUCUGGCAGUCUUUGAUUGUCCGAGUUGUAAUUUAGAGAAGUGUUACCCGUGUUGGGCCGUGUAUAAGUCUCCUGGAAUGGAGCGUCAUAGAGGGUGAGAAUCCCGUCUUUGACACGGACUUCCAAUACAUUGUGGUACGCUCUCGAAGAGUCGAGUUGUUUGGGAAUGCAGCUCUAAAUGGGUGGUAAAUUCCAUCUAAAGCUAAAUAUUGGGGAGAGACCGAUAGCGAACAAGUACCGUGAGGGAAAGAUGAAAAGAACUUUGGAAAGAGAGUUAAAUAGUACGUGAAAUUGCUGAAAGGGAAACGCUUGAAGUCAGUCGCGUUAGUUUUGGGAUCAGCCUUCCUUUUGGUUGGUGUAUUUCCUUACUGACGGGUCAGCAUCAGUUUUGAUCAGUGGAUAAGGACUGGAGGAAUGUGGCAUCUUCGGGUGUGUUAUAGCCUCUUGUUGUAUACAUUGGUUGGGACUGAGGCACUCAGCACG